GCUCCAAUAGCGUAUAUUAAAGUUGUUGCAGUUAAAAAGCUCGUACUUGAACCUUGGGCCUGGCUGGCCGGUCCGCCUCACCGCGUGCACUGGUCCGGCCGGGUCUUUCCUUCUGAGGAGCCGCAUGCCCUUCACUGGGUGUGUCGGGGAAUCAGGACUUUUACUUUGAAAAAAUUAGAGUGUUCAAAGCAGGCCUAUGCUCGAAUACAUUAGCAUGGAAUAAUAGAAUAGGACGUGUGGCUCUAUUUUGUUGGUUUCUAGGACCGCCGUAAUGAUUAAUAGGGAUAGUCGGGGGCAUCAGUAUUCAAUUGUCAGAGGUGAAAUUCUUGGAUUUAUUGAAGACUAACUACUGCGAAAGCAUUUGCCAAGGAUGUUUUCAUUAAUCAGUGAACGAAAGUUAGGGGAUCGAAGA
rnacentral:rRNA from 1 species